UGCGAUCAUGCAGUAUGAGCGUGACGUCAACCAUGCGCACAACCCGUAUAAAUACGCUGUCGCUGGACUCUGACGUACUACAGGGACACGGCGGGUUAGCAGUCGCCUUCCCUCUUCGACAUGAGAGCUAAGUGGAGAAAGAAGCGCAUGCGCAGGCUGAAGCGCAAAAGGAGAAAGAUGAGGCAGAGGUCCAAGUAAACUGCCCUCUCUGCCGUGGCUGUGACAUCAAAUUGACAGCCCGGAGACCAGGACGCCUCCCAGCGUGACGGUCUGAGGCCAGCGGUGUCCAAAUCCACCUGAUGCAGUGGCAGCUGACUGAUGCUGGGAGCUGAUCCAAGACCCGCUGGAUUUCGGGCUUCUCCUCUGGGACAUUCUGGACUCCUUGUUUUCAAUUCCUCAACUUUUGUCAUUUUGUUUUUGUUUAUACUCUGAUUAAAGGUUUUGGUUUAAAAAAAAUAAA